rnacentral:lncRNA from 1 species
CAAGAAAACAUUUCUUAUUUUCUAGAAUCAGUCGUGUGGGUCUAAAACACUUUUGCAACAUCAUUCAUUUGCCAUCUUCCAUGAUGACAGUUCACAAAAUGUCCUGUAGGGAAAAUUCACCUUUCUUGGUCUGAGAAUCAUUACAGAAGCAUCAGUGCAGAUAUUACACUUUUCCUCUGAUAGAAUACUUCAUGUCUUCAUACCAGAAAGCAUGCAAAAAGUUUUGGUCAUACUGUCAGCAAGAGAUCAAAACAACCAUGGACUGUCCCCUACCCCUUCCUCACAUCUUAGUAACUUUUAGACCAUCUCCAGCACUGGGAGGAACACUCAUGUGAUCUGGAGGUGGAAAGGGUAUUCC